GUAGUCGUGGCCGAGAGGUUAAGGCGCCAGACGGGACCUGUAAUCCCCGCAUGGGUUCGAAUCCCAUCGACUACA
rnacentral:tRNA from 1 species